rnacentral:tRNA from 1 species
AUUAGGGUGCCUGAGUAAAGGGUUAUUCUGAUAUUAUAAUUCACGUAAUUAAUACCCCUAAUA